rnacentral:rRNA from 1 species
UACGAAGGGAGCUAGCGUUGUUCGGAAUCACUGGGCGUAAAGCGCACGUAGGCGGACUUGUCAGUCAGGGGUGAAAUCCCGGGGCUCAACCUCGGAACUGCCUCUGAUACAGCAAGUCUUGAGUCCGGAAGAGGUGGGUGGAAUUCCUAGUGUAGAGGUGAAAUUCGUAGAUAUUAGGAAGAACACCGGUGGCGAAGGCGGCCCACUGGUCCGGUACUGACGCUGAGGUGCGAAAGCUAGGGGAGCAAACAGG